AGUUGCAAUUCUCCAGCUGGAACGGGGCUAGUGCGUGCUUUAUUUUCCAAGAUUCUUGAGAGAAGUCCUGAUAGAGGGCAAAUGUCACGCUCCUGGAAUGGUUCCUUGGAGAGUUAGACUUCCCGCUGAGAACUGGGAGCGCCUUCCUGGUGGGAGGAAGGGCCUUGAAUUCCCUGCCCGCCCUCCAGACAGCAGCGGUCAGUGGGACUGCAAGGUUGGGUGGAGGAGAAACUUCUCAAGCUUUCUGACCAACUAACUCCCUUUAGUUGGUUGGGGUGUUGGGGGGCGUCUGUCUUUAAAGUUUCAGAAUAAAACCAGAGGUCUUGUCUUACUUGAGGGUCAGUACACUGAUAUUAACAACAACAAAAAAGAGAUUUUAAAUUAAUAACAUUUAUUGUUCUUUUUUUCUCUGAUUACAAAAUAGAUAUUCAUUGAGACCAUAAUCCCACCCGUUGGACUUAAAUGCUGCCAACACUUCACUACAGACAUAUUUUUUUUCCUGUGCACAUAAUAGAUACCAUUUAUUCAAAGCCAAACACCGUGCCUGGCGCUGAGCUCUUUAUAAACAAGAUCCUAUUCAACCCUGAUCACCCUAUGAGGUGGAGACCAUCA
rnacentral:lncRNA from 1 species